UACUUUCGGGUUUGCGUUUCUUUUUUUUUUGCGCUUCCAUCAUAUCACCUUAUCUCUCGCACAUCGACAGACACGCAGUGAGUACUCGAGUGCUGUAGCUGGUAGCGUGCGGUGUGCCAUUGUCGCUGAGUGUUGUGUGCUCGCGAGUCUGUGCCUGCUUCAGCGCCCGCCUUCGCUUGUGUUUUUCCCUCCCUCUUCCUCCUUCCCUUCUCCCCCUUUCAACCUUCUGGUGGCCCUUAUGGUGGAGUUACACAUUUUCGAUUUCGACGGCACGAUCUUCUUCUCUCCGGUGGCCGACCCGAAUGCACUUGCCGCCGCACUUGUCGCCUCGGGCGAUCUCGGCGCCGAGGAUGCAGCCGCCGCAGCAAAAAGGCUGCACGGCGAACUACGCUGCCCCGUGUCCUCCGGCGGCCUAGGGUGGUAUCAGAGUCUUUCGACGCUGUCGCCACCGGCAGUGCCGGAGCGGCCGGCUGAGGCCACGUGGUUUGUGGAGCCCAUUCUUACACACAUGCGCGCCAUCGUCAAGACCCGCAACUCUUUGACGAAGGAGCGCCGUCCCAACGUCGGCACACACCCAGCGGCCGCGACGGUGGACAUGCCGCUCAUCUAUGUGCUCACUGGCCGGGACGUAAAGUACUGCGACCGAAUCUGGACGCUGCUGCAGCAGGCUGGACUCGACAAGGAGGUGGAGGACGUCUUGCUGAAGCCGACUGAGACGGCCGGCACCGUCAAGUACAAACUGAACCGAUUUUUCUCCUUGAUUCAGUACCACCGACCGGCGCGCGUCUUUUACUAUGAAGACCGUGUUGAGCAGGGCAGGGUGCUGCUGGAGGGGAUGCGGGCGCUGGAGGAGGUACUGUACACGGACGUCAGCGACAAGAACAACGGCAUCGACAGCGGCGGCAAUGGCUACUGGAAGACAGAUCGCGUCGGUGUCGUGACGUUCGACGUCACGGGCGGCGCUGCAGAGGACGCCAGCACGACGACACUUCCGCCGCUAACAGCUUUGAACACUCCGCAGCCCGCGGUCGUGCCGUGCGCCGAACGCGACGGGGCCACUUGCCAAGGUACAGACGGCAGAAACGCACACCUGUCGCCGAUAGCCUCAUCUCUGCGCACUAGCCCGUAUUCCCUGCUUCGCGACGCGUGCUACCCAGUCGACCGGCGCGCCCUCUUCGGCUCAUCUUCUCCGACAGACACCCUUCCGGAGGCGAAGGUUUCGGCGGCGCUGGACCAAGCAGAGCGACAGGCGCGGCAGUGGGUUGAGAGAACGGUGCAGUUCUACAAUUCAAAGAGCGCCUGUCAGGACCGGGGUCGUGGACAGGGUGGACGACCGGCGGCCGGUGGAAAGCAGAGCACGGCCGCCGUGACCACCACUGCUUCCGGGUCCAAGGCCGACACGGCAGCGGUCUGCGACGCACGUGCCUUGCGCACUGCCGUCUCCUUUGCUGUGCCUCCCCCGUUUGUGUUCGUGAUGGUGCUCGUGCCUCCUGCCUUGUGUGGCCGCAGCACGAGCAUCCUGAGCGGAGAGCAGCUUGUGGCCGUGCUACGCACAUUGGAGGAGGAGAAGCGGGCGUUAGAGAAUUCGACGGCGGCGUAGGCGCACCUGAGCAUACAUGUCACGUACCACGCCGAGUGAGGGUGAGCGGGCCACAGCGAUGCUCGCGAAGCAGGUGCACAGCUACACGCACACU
rnacentral:misc_RNA from 1 species